UACGUGGGGGGCAAGCGUUGUUCGGAAUUACUGGGCGUAAAGGGCUCGUAGGCGGCCAACUAAGUCGGAUGUGAAAUCCCCAGGCUUAACCUGGGAACUGCAUCCGAUACUGGAUGGCUUGAAUCCGGGAGAGGGAUGCAGAAUUCCAGGUGUAGCGGUGAAAUGCGUAGAUAUCUGGAGGAAUACCGGUGGCGAAGGCGGCAUCCUGGACCGGCAUUGACGCUGAGGCGCGAAAGCUAGGGGAGCAAACGGG
rnacentral:rRNA from 1 species